rnacentral:rRNA from 1 species
UGCUCUUUGAGCGUUAAACUAUAUCCAUCUACACCUGUGAACUGUUGAUUGACUUCGGUCAAUUACUUUUACAAACAUUGUGUAAUGAACGUCAUGUUAUUAUAACAAAAAUAACUUUCAACAACGGAUCUCUUGGCUCUCGCAUCGAUGAAGAACGCAGCGAAAUGCGAUAAGUAAUGUGAAUUGCAGAAUUCAGUGAAUCAUCGAAUCUUUGAACGCAACUUGCGCUCUCUGGUAUUCCGGAGAGCAUGCCUGUUUGAGUAUCAUGAAAUCUCAACCAUUAGGGUUUCUUAAUGGCUUGGAUUUGGGCGCUGCCACUUGCCUGGCUCGCCUUAAAAGAGUUAGCGUAUUAACUUGUCGAUCUGGCGUAAUAAGUUUCGCUGGUGUAGACUUGAGAAGUGCGCUUCUAAUCGUCUUCGGACAAUUCUUGAACUCUGGUCUCAAAUCAGGUAGGACUACCCGCUGAACUUAAGCAUAUCAAUAAGCGGAGGG